rnacentral:tRNA from 1 species
GAGGGUAUAGCUCAGUGGUAGAGUACGUCCCUACCAUGCACAAGGUCCUGGGUUCAAUCCCCAGUACCUACA